CCCGCCCCCCUCCCCGGGGGGGUGGCCAGCGCCCGCCAGAGGACCAUCAAACUCCAGUCAGUAAACGAUGCAGUCUGAAAAACAUUUAAUAAACUAAAACUUUCAACAACGGAUCUCUUGGUUCUGGCAUCGAUGAAGAACGCAGCGAAAUGCGAUAAGUAAUGUGAAUUGCAGAAUUCAGUGAAUCAUCGAAUCUUUGAACGCACAUUGCGCCCUUUGGUAUUCCGAAGGGCAUGCCUGUUCGAGCGUCAUUACAACCCUCAAGCUCUGCUUGGUAUUGGGCACCGUCCUUUGCGGGCGCGCCUCAAAGACCUCGGCGGUGGCGUCUUGCCUCAAGCGUAGUAGAACAUACAUCUCGCUUCGGAGCGCAGGGCGUCGCCCGCCGGACGAACCUUCUGAACUUUUCUCAAGGUGACCUCGAUCAGUACGCUCCGCCGAA
rnacentral:rRNA from 1 species